UGACAAGUUGGGAGUGGAUUGCUCCGUUGUAUCAUUCUACUUUGAGACUGCUCCUGACCUACGUAUCUCCAGAUGUCAAGUGACCAUGGUUAAGCCAACGCUGGACAAGAUCUCAUCCCCAGCAGACGACAUGGACACCACACGACCCUGCUCCACUGAAAGGUGACCUCCAGACAUACUCUCCACAACAUUUGCUUUUCGCUUGAGAGGUCACCCCAGCAAAACAUCAUCCCCUAAUCUUGCAGUAAUUUGAUUCAGCACAUUUUGUAACAUCAGAUGCCCUCCCAGA